UAAAGGCCAUGCCUCCCGCCAACAGCAUGACAGCGCCCUGGUGCGUCGUAUCUCGGUGUGGUGAUGCUCGGCGCCAUGACGUCAGCAGCUCCAAGGUGAGGAUAACGUAGAUGGCACUAUAGCCUACUACAGCCGUGGCUCUAACCCCGAGCAGGACAAGCCCCCACCGACCAUCUGUCGGUUGUCACUUUGCAUGGCGCUAAACAGUUAGCCACUGCUCCAGAGUCACCUUCGUGCUCGGGGGAUCCUCGAUCCUGUUCACCGAGGGAACCUCGCGCCUCUGGGGGCUCGAUGCUAUUUCCUCAGGAAAGCGUUUUGGGUUGCUAGGGUAUCAGCACCGGUUGCUAUGGUCUGCUGCUGUCUGCAGAGCACAUCUACUGAAGGUAAAGAGCUUGUUUUUCGGGCUCCAGUUAACAGCAUUGCCGUUAUAAAAGCUUUAUUCAGAGGUUAGAGAUUACGUGCCGCAAUUUGUAAUUGUAAUUGGCUGUAAUUUACUUUUAAUUCACUUUUGUAAAUGUUUUAAUUUCUGAU
ensembl:lncRNA